CCCAUAUCAUGUUCAAGUACUGGUUCCCAUAUAAUCACUGAAAUUAAGCAAUGUUGUGCCAGGUCAGUACUGAGAUAGGUGACUGCUUGGGAAUACCAGAUGCUGUAAG